AAUCAUGUUCUUGUUAACUCCGGCAAUAUGGAAGUAAUUGACACAAUGAAGAAUGGAGGACAUUCAGUGGGAGUGGCGGUGGCAGUGUUCGAUGAUUGCUAUUUUAUGGCUUGCGAUUUUCCGUGUAUUAGAUUUGAACAUUGUAAUAGGGAAGCAAAUAAAGUAGCUGGCGAACUUUCUAGGCUAGCUAAGUUUUCUGAGACUAAGGAUUGGUUUGAGGAGCCUAUGAGUAAUAUUGUAAAUCUUCUUAUUGACGACGUAACCGUUAUUUAUAUGUAG
rnacentral:rRNA from 1 species